UCCAUCUCCUAACGCUACUCUGAAUUGCUAUGGCUUCCUCAACCACCGCGAUUGGAUCUGGCUUUCUCCAUCGUAAAACAAAGUGUUUCCAAGCUUUCCACAUAUUCCACAGCACACCGGCGACUAGCUCAACCGAGGUGCCGGGUGAGCCCAAACUGCCUUCGUCCAGCGACACAGCAAAAAAUAAGUGCUCAAUUGUCCCUGGGUGUUGAUGGCACAAAGGGCACUUCGAGUCGGGAACUGCGACUUUAGUCACGGAGAGGCACAACAAAGAAGAAUCUCAGCUUCUCUCUCUAUCCAGCAUUUUGUUGAACACUUGUUUAGCACCUGGGAGGAGCUUCCGAUUGGCAUAGGAUUGAAGGUUCAAGCAAAGCGGUGGUGUACUAGAUUAGGCAAGCAGCGGCUGAGAAGGCUCAAUUUCAAGACGCAUCUACCGGAGACAACGAUUCGAAAACAGCAGUGGAGAAGGAACCGUAAUCAUGGCAAUGCAGUGGCGCGAUUUAAAUGGCGUGGUGUAGGGUGGAAGUGGAAGCAGAGAGUCGUAGGGGGUGGAGACAAUGGAGAAUUGGAGACAAAAUAAAUGUAAAAAUUCUUUAUUAUACUCUGUUCAACUUGGACAAUUAUUCUUUCGUUACAUACUAGUGGGAAAUUUGUGGAGUACAUGAAGCUCGGUAACAAAAUUUUCUUUAGGAUUUUGCAAAAUAUUUGUACUUAAUUGUCAUGUUUAAUCCCAAUAAACUAUUGUGAGUAAAAUUGAAUUUUUUUUUUUACUUUGUUUGAAUUCAAGAUGAACGGUUUUCUUA